rnacentral:rRNA from 1 species
CAGGUGGUGCAUGGUUGUCGUCAGCUCGUGUCGUGAGAUGUUGGGUUAAGUCCCGCAACGAGCGCAACCCUUAUCCUUAGUAGCCAGCAGUUUGGCUGGGCACUCUGGGGAGACUGCCAGGGAUAACCUGGAGGAAGGUGGGGAUGACGUCAAAUCAUCAUGCCCCUUAUGAUUUGGGCUACACACGUGCUACAAUGGCGUAAACAAAGGGAAGCGAAGGAGUGAUCCGGAGCAAAUCUCAAAAAUAACGUCUCAGUUCGGAUUGUAGUCUGCAACUCGACUACAUGAAGCUGGAAUCGCUAGUAAUCGCGGAUCAGAAUGCCGCGGUGAAUACGUUCCCGGGUCUUGUACACACCGCCCGUCACACCAUGGGAGUUGGUAACGCCCGAAGUCAGUGACCCAACCGUAAGGAGGGAGCUGCCGAAGGCGGGACUGAUAACUGGGGUGAAGUCGUAACAAGGUA